CUAUACUCAUUUUUAAAAAUCAGUAAUCAGCUGAAUGAGGUCUGCUGUUCCUUUUUGCGAAGAUGAUGAGGAAACAUUACCCAGAAUCUGAAUGAAAAUUUUUAUUCGGACCUAUUUCGGGAAAAGCUUUAAUUUACUUAAAGAAUUGCUUCAUUUCAAUAUGUGAAGAUAAGCCCCAAUGAGAACUUUUUGGGGGUGAGGUCCCAGUGAAAUGGAUGCUUCUGCGAUUGGAACUCCUGAGGAGUGGCAGGUCUUCAGCUUACAUCUGGGUUUAGAUCUGCUGGUCUACCUGGAAGUAGGGAGUUUGAGUGAAAGCUACCAGCUCAUCCUCAUGUUUCCAUAACUCUUUUAGCAAGAGAAUUCAGAAACUAAGGUGAGUUCCAAGAUUUACUAAUUUAGACUUUUUAAUGUAUAUUGUUUUCCCUAUUCUCUUAAUUUAUAAUAAUAGCAACAAUGAAAUGAGACUGUGUUUACUUUUGGAGUCAGCAAGAUUGAGAAGAGUUGGGAUACUGUGUAAAAUCAAUUUGGGAGAAGACUCCUACAGGACAAAAUGGCAAUGAAAGCAUUUUUUAAAAAAAAGGAAAGUAGGCUGAGUUCUCAGAAGAACAAAACGAUCUUGCCUUAGGACCAAGAGGUAGUUCUUUUGUAAAAGAUUAAAAAGCGUAGGUUUCCAGUACAGGAUAAGAUAAAUAAGGGACAGUUUAACUUAAUUAGAGCAAAAAAGAAUCUUUUUUUUUUUUUUUUACUUUAUUAAGAAUACAUAAAAGUAAAAAAGAAACCAAAUAUAACAGGGCUGUCUAGUGAUGCAGUUACUUUAUAGAAAAGAAUAUGGGUAACAAGAAUUCUGAUUUUAUUUUGCAACUAAGCACUGGACUUCUGAAUUGUGAUGGUAUCAGAAUUCUUAAUUAUUUUCAGCCUUCAACUUUUGAUGACCUGGGUCAGGAAAAAGAUGUUGCUAUUGUUGUAAUUAUGACCUUGAUUGAUGGCAGCUUCUCAGUGAACUUGUGCAUGUGUGUUUUAAUUCCAAUUUUCCUCAUGACUAAAUUUCCCUACAAAUCUAGCUUUUAAUUUUGCUGAUACCAUUUUAAAAAGUAGUAGAUUAUAAUCUAUUGUAUUAAUGGGAAUGGAAGGUUCCUGAAGAGUGAAUGAGGGAGAAUCACAGGGAUGGCCCAUAGGAUAUUCCUUACUCCCCUCCCUACUCUAGCCCCUCCAUACUCUCCCUUCCUUGUGGAUGGAAAUGCCAGCCAAUUCAGGGAUCAUAUAGGAGCUAAGGUGUCCCCAUUUAUUGGUCUUCCACUGCCAUGUUUUUGAAUCAUGUGGCCUGUGAGUUUUUUGAGAAUGAAGAGAAAUGCUUGACACUUGCAUCCUACUCAGUUCUACCUUUUCCUUACAUUUACUGGUCUGAAUGGAUACCUAAACUGAAAUACUUUCUGUUCAAACUGACAGUACUGUUUUCCAACUUCUUCCUCCAGUCCAACAAGGUUUCUAGGAAAUGGACUGUGGAAAAUGAGAUUUCACUAGGGGCCUACCAGAAGAGAGAGUAGUUUUCACUUUUAGUCUGAGUUUCUGAUUCUUUGUGCCCUGCACCUAAUCUGACUUGAGUUUCACAGAUUGUAAAUUUUGUUUUAAUCUCAAUGAAGACCAGUCUAAGGGGUUUUCAUAUAACAUGGAUUUUUUUUUCUUUUUCCUUUUACUUCUAAUUUGCAUCACUCAGAUUAGCAUUUAUUUGUUCAUAGUGAGACAGCAUGGUAUAAUGGAAAAAACAAACGUGUGUUGGAUUCUUAAAGAUUUCCAUUUGAAUUAUGGAUCUUCAUUAUUAGUGAUGGGGUCAACAAACUUCUCUAAGUUUCAGGUUCCUUGUUUCUUAAAAGAAAAUAACAUCUAAUUCAUAUAAGUGUUAUAAGGAUUAAAUCAGAUUUUGCAUAGAUCAUUAUAAAGUAAAGUUAUAUAGAAAAGUUUUUGAAGUUUACUCUGAAAGGAUAUAGAGUUUACCUUUUCCCCAGGAAAAUGAUUUAAAAAAAAAUACUAAAAGGUAGACAGAAAUGGGACGGGAAUGCUGAACAGAACCCUACAUUUGCUAUAGAGUGACUUUGAGAAUAUUUAUGAAAAAAAUAAAAACAUUAAAUAUCAGUUAUAUAUUCAAAAUAUACUAGGACCUGUAGGAAUAAUCAAGAUUGAUCUUUUGAAUAUAAAAUUCUUGAAAUUUGUAUUAUCCUGUAUCUGAGAGUUUUCUAGAUCAUGGAAGAGGUCUCUAUCUCCAUAAUUUAAACAACAAAUAUUGCUACUUUUAAAUUUCUUUUUGCCCACCUCAAUUAACUUUUUGACAGGAUGAAGGGAAGAUGAAUAUCGAUUAAAAAUUUGUAUAUAGUCAGCCUUUCACUAGAGAAUUAAGAGUGUGGUCUAGAGAUGAAAAAGUAGACUCGGGAGUACAUACAUACAGUAAAUGAAAGAAAUACGUAACUGUUAUGACCUCAAAAAUAUUUAAGUCGUUUUCAAUAUUUAAAAUUAAGAAUAUAAAAAUAUGCAGGUGUGCCUGGGUGGCUCAGUCGGUUAAGUGUCUGCCUUCCUUUGGCUCAAGUCAUGAUCUCUUGGUUUGUUGAGUUCGAGCCCCGCAUCUGUGCUGACAGCUCAGAGCCUGGAGCCUGCUUCAGAUUCUUUGUCUCCCUCUCUGUCUCUGCCCCUCCCCUGCUUACAUUCUGUCUGUCUCUCUUUCUCAAAAAUAAACAGACAUUUAAAAAUAUAUACAAAAAUGUGUGAAUCCUGGAAAUGAUCAGAAGGGCAUGCACACAGCUCCUCAUACUCCAAGACAGCCAGUUAAGACUGUGGGUAAUACAAAAAUAUUUACUAAUUUUGGAAUGCCUUAUAUAUUUUUUCAACAGAAUUUCCUUUUUAGUUACAGAAUUAAAAGGAAUCUAAGGGGUGUGAUAUGGUCCAGAACCCUGAUGUCAAGUAAACGGAUGAUUAUUCUUCCAGAUAUGCUCUUCCCAUAAAUUGUUGAAGAAUGAAAAUUGCCAUUUCAGUAUUUUAACAAUCUGUGGGUCAUUAAAUUAUCCUUUAUUUUUA